rnacentral:rRNA from 1 species
CGUCUCAGUUCGGAUUGCAGGNUGCAACUCGCCUGUAUGAAGUCGGAAUUGCUAGUAAUCGUGGAUCAGCAUGCCACGGUGAAUACGUUCCCGGGCCUUGUACACACCGCCCGUCAAGCCAUGGGAGCCGGGGGUACCUGAAGUGCGUGACCGCAAGGAGCGCCCUAAGGUAAAACCGGUGACUGGGGCUAAGUCGUAACAAGGUACC